GAACGGUCGGCAGGCGAUCCGCGUCGGUCGCGCGAGGUGGUAUGGUUCCCCAGAGGCCGGUUCUUGUGCUGCCUACCCCUUCAGGGGAAGCGGGCCACUUGAUGUAAGCCUCCAUCCGGCGCCCUCCAACGGGCGCAGGAGGACAACGGAGCACCCCCCGCGUUCCACCGAGCCUUCGUCGGUCGCGUGGCGCGCGGGGACGUGCGAUGCUCUCGGACCCAAUGAACGCCGUGGGCGAGGACUCACGUCCCAGUCCCGAUAGAAGCUUCGGUAUAAUGCAUGACGGCCGCUCCCGCCCCCCGACCGCCCCGGCGGCGCGUGGGCGAGGCGCGGCGUCGCGGAGGAAUGCUACCUGGUUGAUCCUGC
rnacentral:misc_RNA from 1 species